rnacentral:rRNA from 1 species
GAGUGAUCAAGUGUCUUAAGGGCAUUUGGUGGAUGCCUUGGCAUGCACAGGCGAUGAAGGACGUGAUACGCUGCGAUAAGCGUCGGGGAGGUGCGAAUACCCUUUGAUCCGACGAUUUCCGAAUGGGGCAACCCACCUUAGAUAGCUAGAAAAUUUGAAUUGUUGGAGUGAAACUGCAUGGGUGAGAGCCCAUACAGACCGCUAGGUCGUCGGUUCGAAUGAACCGCCCCUGCGGAGCGAAGCAGCGCAAGCUGCGACAGCGUGAGCAAGAACAGUUCAACUUUCUAGUUAUCGUAAUAAGGUAUCUACACCUGAAUACAUAGGGUGUUAGAAGCGAACCUGGGGAACUGAAACAUCUAAGUACCCAGAGGAAAGGACAUCAAACGAGACUCCGCUAGUAGUGGCGAGCGAACGCGGACCAGGCCAGUGGCAAUAGGGAAUAAAGUGGAAGAACCUGGAAAGGUUUGCCGAAGUGGGUGAUAGCCCCGUACACGUAGAACACCUGUUGUCCUUGAGUAGGGCGGGACACGUGAAAUCCUGUCUGAACAUGGGUCGACCACGAUCCAAGCCUAAGUACUCGUGCAUGACCGAUAGCGAACCAGUACCGUGAGGGAAAGGUGAAAAGCACCCCGACGAGGGGAGUGAAACAGUACCUGAAACCGGAUGCCUACAAACAGUUGGAGCCCAAGGUUCGUCCUGGGUGACAGCGUACCUUUUGUAUAAUGGGUCAGCGACUUAGUGUAUCGAGCAAGCUUAAGCCGGUAGGUGUAGGCGCAGCGAAAGCGAGUCUGAACAGGGCGUUCAGUUCGAUGCAUUAGACCCGAAACCAAGUGAUCUAGCCAUGAGCAGGUUGAAGGUACGGUAACACGUACUGGAGGACCGAACCCAUAUCUGUUGCAAUAGAUCGGGAUGACUUGUGGCUAGGGGUGAAAGGCCAAUCAAACUUGGAGAUAGCUGGUUCUCCGCGAAAUCUAUUUAGGUAGAGCGUCCAGCGAAUACCCCCGGGGGUAGAGCACUGAAUGGGCUAUGGGGACUCACCGUCUUACUGAUCCUAAUCAAACUCCGAAUACCGGGGAGUACUACUGGGCAGACACACGGCGGGUGCUAACGUCCGUCGUGGAGAGGGCAACAACCCUGACCACCAUCUAAGGUCCCUAAGUUAUGGCUAAGUGGGAAAGGAUGUGAGGAUCCCAAAACAACCAGGAUGUUGGCUUAGAAGCAGCCAUCAUUUAAAGAAAGCGUAACAGCUCACUGGUCUAAAUAAGGGUCUUUGCGCCGAAAAUGUACCGGGGCUAAAGCCAUACACCGAAGCUGUGGAUGCACAUUUGUGCGUGGUAGCGGAGCGUUCCGUAAGCCUGUGAAGGGACAGUCGUGAGACAUCCUGGAGGUAUCGGAAGUGAGAAUGCUGACAUGAGUAACGAUAAAGGGAGUGAGAGACUCCCUCGCCGAAAGUCCAAGGGUUCCUGCUUAAAGUUAAUCUGAGCAGGGUUAGCCGGCCCCUAAGGCGAGGCCGAAAGGCGUAGUCGAUGGGAACCACGUUAAUAUUCGUGGGCCUGCAGGUAGUGACGGAUCGCGUGUGUUGUAAGGUCUUAUUGGAUUGAUCUUGCAGCGAAGCGGUUCCAGGAAAUAGCUCCUGCAUAUAGACCGUACCCUAAACCGACACUGGUGGACUGGUAGAGAAUACCAAGGCGCUUGAGAGAACUGCGUUGAAGGAACUCGGCAAAAUGCACGCGUAACUUCGGAAGAAGCGUGACCUCCAUUUAGGCAACUAGGUGGGGGUGGCACAGACCAGGGGGUAGCGACUGUUUACCAAAAACACAGGGCUCUGCGAAGUCGCAAGACGACGUAUAGGGUCUGACGCCUGCCCGGUGCUGGAAGGUUAAGAGGAGAUGUGCAAGCAUUGAAUUGAAGCCCCAGUAAACGGCGGCCGUAACUAUAACGGUCCUAAGGUAGCGAAAUUCCUUGUCGGGUAAGUUCCGACCUGCACGAAUGGCGUAACGACUUCCCCGCUGUCUCCAACGCAGACUCAGUGAAAUUGAAUUCCCCGUGAAGAUGCGGGGUUCCUGCGGUUAGACGGAAAGACCCCGUGCACCUUUACUAUAGCUUUACACUGGCAUUCGUGUCGGCAUGUGUAGGAUAGGUG